rnacentral:rRNA from 1 species
GAUGAACGCUGGCGGCGUGCCUAAUACAUGCAAGUCGAGCGAACGGACGAGAAGCUUGCUUCUCUGAUGUUAGCGGCGGACGGGUGAGUAACACGUGGAUAACCUACCUAUAAGACUGGGCUAACUUCGGGAAACCGGAGCUAAUACCGGAUAAUAUUUUGAACCGCAUGGUUCAAAAGUGAAAGACGGUCUUGCUUUCACUUAUAGAUGGAUCCGCGCUGCAUUAGCUAGUUGGUAAGGGAACGGCUUACCAAGGCAACGAUGCAUAGCCGACCUGAGAGAGGGAUCGGCCACACUGGGACAGAAUGACGGUCCAGACUGCUACGGGAGGCAGGAGUAGGGAAUCUCGCGCAAUGGGCGAAAGCCAGACGGAGCAACGCCGCGUGAGUGAUGAAGGUAUUGGGAUCGUAAAACUCUGUUAUUAGGGAAGAACAUAUGUGUAAGUAACUGUGGACAUCAUGACGGUACCUAGUCAAAAAGCCACGGCUAACUACGUG